GGCAAGGAUGUUAAGCCAAGGAUUCUGCAUGGAGCUAAAAGAGGCAUUUUUCCUGUGAGGCUGGCAGCAGUAGGAGAAUUUGCAUCACAGAGCCUUCAUCCAGUCACUGAUGGAAGCAGAAGCAGAGAUCCACAGCUAAGCACUGGGCUGAGCUCCUGGAGUCCAGAUGAAGAGAGAGAGGAAGGAUUAUAUGAGCAAGUGGAGGUCAAGAUCAUGAUGGGGAAAACCACAGAGACAGCUGACCUGAGCUAGUGGGAGUUCACAGACUCUGGACUGACAGCUGGGGAGCCUGCAUGGGAUCAAACUAGGCCCUUUGAAUCACCUUGCACUGCGAAGUACAUGGCUCAUCUGGAACAAAAGAUUGAAGCAUAGAUUUUUCAGCCAUCUUGCCUGUAUGCAUAAACGAUGCACUUUGUAUGACUUGAGUGAACUGGGGUAACUUUGUAACCUCUCUUCUCAGCUUCAUAGCUUAUGUA